UGUGUGAAUGGCUCCAGUGGUGGGCACAGUUCAGCUAACAGCUAAUGAGCAGAGCUAACUUUUUCAUCAGCCGAUUACCUUUUCAGCCAUUAUAACUGAGAAA